CUGCCCCUGUCAGGGGGACAACCCGCCGAAAGGCGGGCUAAACCCGCGUACAUGCCACCGGGGCAUCCCGGAGGCAGGAAAGGCUUCGGCCGGACAGGGAUGGGCAUGCGGCGCAUUAGGCAGUAGGCGGGGUAACGGCCCACCUAACCGACGAUGCGUAGGGGUUCUGAGAGGAAGGUCCCCCACACUGGUACUGAGACACGGACCAGACUCCUACGGGAGGCAGCAGUGAGGAAUAUUGGUCAAUGGUCGGGAGACUGAACCAGCCAAGCCGCGUGAGGGAUGAAGGUACAGAGUAUCGUAAACCUCUUUUGUCAGGGAACAAAGACUGGGACGCGUCCCCGGAUGAGUGUACCUGAAGAAAAAGCAUCGGCUAACUCCGUGCCAGCAGCCGCGGUAAUACGGAGGAUGCGAGCGUUAUCCGGAUUUAUUGGGUUUAAAGGGUGCGCAGGCGGUCUGUUAAGUCAGCGGUCAAAGCCCGGGGCUCAACCCCGGCCCGCCGUUGAAACUGGCAGUCUCGAGUUGGAGAGAAGUAUGCGGAAUGCGCGGUGUAGCGGUGAAAUGCAUAGAUAUCGCGCAGAACUCCGAUUGCGAAGGCAGCAUGCCGGCUCCACACUGACGCUGAGGCACGAAAGCGUGGGUAUCGAACAGGAUUAGAUACCCUGGUAGUCCACGCAGUAAACGAUGA
rnacentral:rRNA from 1 species